rnacentral:rRNA from 1 species
UACGUGGAGGGGGCAAGCGUUGGUUCCGGAUUUGAUUGGGCGUAAAGCGCUCGCAGGUGGUUCGAUGCGUCGUGCGUGAAAGACCCCGGCUCAACUGGGGAGGGUCGUGCGAUACGGUCGAACUGGAGGCCAGUAGGGGGAUGCGGAAUUCCGGGUGUAGCGGUGAAAUGCGUAGAUAUCAGGAGGAACACCUGCGGUGUAGACGGCUUACUGGACCAUAACUGACGCUGAGGCACGAAAGCGUGGGUAGCAAACAGG